rnacentral:rRNA from 1 species
GAUGAACGCUAGCGACAGGCCUAACACAUGCAAGUCGAGGGGCAUCGGGACGUAGCAAUACGUUGCCGGCGACCGGCGGAUGGGUGAGUAACGCGUAUGCAACCUACCCGUAGCAGGGGGAUAGCCCGUUGAAAGACGGAUUAAUACCCCGUAACACAGGGGCUCCGCAUGGAGAUUAUUGUUAAAGGGUCAUUUCUUUUUCAGGGAUGGUCCGGCUGCGGAUGGGCAUGCGUUCCAUUAGGUAGUUGGUGUAGGUAACUGCUCACCAAGCCGACGAUGGAUAGGGGAACUGAGAGGUUGGUCCCCCACACUGGUACUGAGACACGGACCAGACUCCUACGGGAGGCAGCAGUGAGGAAUUUUGGUCAAUGGACGCAAGUCUGAACCAGCCAUGUCGCGUGAAGGAGGACGGCCCUAAGGGUUGUAAACUUCUUUUGCAGUGGAAUAAAGUUUGCCACGUGUUGGCGAUUUGCGAGUACGCUGCGAAUAAGGAUCGGCUAACUCCGUG